rnacentral:rRNA from 1 species
UACGGAGUGUGCAAGCGUUACUCGGAAUCACUGGGCAUAAAGCGCGCGUAGGCGGGUUUGCAAGUCGAUUGUAAAAUCCCUCAGCUCAACUAGAGGAACGUAGCAGUCGAUACUGCUCACCUUGAGGACGAAAGGGAGGAGUGGAACUUCUGGUGGAGCGGUGAAAUAGCGUAGAUAUCAGAAGGAACACCGGUGGCGAAAGACGCUCUCUGGUUCGUAUCUGACGCUGAGGCGCGAAAGCUUGGGUAGC